rnacentral:rRNA from 1 species
GAUGAACGCUGGCGGCGUGCCUAAUACAUGCAAGUCGAGCGAACGGACGAGAAGCUUGCUUUUCUGAUGUUAGCGGCGGACGGGUGAGUAACACGUGGAGAACCUACCUAUAAGCCUGGGAUAACUUCGGGAAACCGGUGCUAAUACCGGAUAAUAUUUUGAAACACAUGGUUCAAAAGUGAAAGACGGUCUUGCUUUCACCUAUAAAUGGAUCCGGGCUGCUUUAGCUAGUUGGUAAGGUAACGGCUUACCAAGGCAACGAUGCAUAGCCGACCUGAGAGGGUGAUCGGCCACACUGGAACUGAGACACGGUCCAGACUCCUACGGGAGGCAGCAGUAGGGAAUCUUCGGCAAUGGGCGAAAGCCUGACGGAGCAACGCCGCGUGGGUGAUGAAGGUCUUCGGAUCGUAAAACUCGGUUAUUAGGGAAGAACAUAUGUGUAAGUAACUGUGCACAUCGUGACGGUACCUAAUCAGAAAGCGACGGCUAACUACGUG